rnacentral:rRNA from 1 species
GGACUACUAGGGUAUCUAAUCCCGUUCGCUCCCCACGCUGUCGCGCCUCAGCGUCAGGCGCGGGCUAGGUGGCCGCUUGCGCCACGGGUGUUCCGGCCGAUCUCUACGCAUUUCACCACUACACCGGCCAUUCCACCACCCUCGCCCGCCCUCUAGACACGGCGUAUCGGCACGCCUACCACCGUUAAGCGGUGGCCUUUCAGUACCGACGCCCGCAUCCGCCUGCGCGCGCUUUACGCCCAGUCAGUCCGGACAACGCUUGCCCCCUCUGUCUUACCGCGGCGGCUGGCAC